rnacentral:tRNA from 1 species
GGGGUUAUAGCUCAGCUGGUUAGAGCGCACGCCUGAUAAGCGUGAGGUCGAUGGUUCGAGUCCAUUUAACCCCAC